rnacentral:rRNA from 1 species
GAGUUUGAUCCUGGCUCAGAACGUACGCUGGCGGCACGCCUAACACAUGCAAGUCGAACGAAGUAGCAAUACUUAGUGGCAGACGGGUGAGUAACAUGUAGGUAUCUGCCCUUUGGCCUGGAAUAACACGAGGAAACUUGUGCUAAUACCGGAUAAGUCUUUACGGAGAAAGCUUUAUGCACCAUUGGAUGAGCCUGCACUUGAUUAGUUUGUUGGUGGGGUAAUGGCCUACCAAGACUGUGAUCAAUAGCUGAUUUGAGAGGAUGAUCAGCCACAUUGGGACUGAGACACGGCCCAAACUCCUACGGGAGGCAGCAGUGGGGAAUCUUGCACAAUGGAGGAAACUCUGAUGCAGCGAUGCCGCGUGAGUGAAGAAGGCCCUUGGGUUGUAAAGCUCUUUCGUCGGGGAAGAAAAUGACUGUACCCGAAUAAGAAGGUCCGGCUAACUUCGUGCCAGCAGCCGCGGUAAUACGAAGGGACCUAGCGUAGUUCGGAAUUACUGGGCUUAAAGAGUUCGUAGGUGGUUGAAAAAGUUAGUGGUGAAAUCCCAGAGCUUAACUCUGGAACUGCCAUUAAAACUUUUCAGCUAGAGUAUGAUAGAGGAAAGCAGAAUUUCUAGUGUAGAGGUGAAAUUCGUAGAUAUUAGAAAGAAUACCAAUUGCGAAGGCAGCUUUCUGGAUCAUUACUGACACUGAGGAACGAAAGCAUGGGUAGCGAAGAGGAUUAGAUACCCUCGUAGUCCAUGCCGUAAACGAUGUGUGUUAGACGUUGGAAAUUUAUUUUCAGUGUCGCAGGGAAACCGAUAAACACACCGCCUGGGGAGUACGACCGCAAGGUUAAAACUCAAAUGAAUUGACGGGGACCCGCACAAGUAGUGGAGCAUGUGGUUUAAUUCGAAGAUACGCGCAGAACCUUACCAACACUUGACAUGUUCGUCGCAACUCUAAGAGAUUAGAGUUUUCGGUUCGGCCGGACGAAACACAGGUGCUGCAUGGCUGUCGUCAGCUCGUGUCGUGAGAUGUUGGGUUAAGUCCCGCAACGAGCGCAACCCUCACUUUUAGUUGCCAUCAUUAAGUUGGGCACUCUGAAAGAACUGCCAGUGAUAAGCUGGAGGAAGGUGGGGAUGACGUCAAGUCCUCAUGGCCCUUACGUGUUGGGCUACACACGUGCUACAAUGGUAUCUACAACAGGAAGCAAGACUGCGAAGUUAAGCAAAUCCCUAAAAGAUACCUCAGUUCGGAUUGCACUCUGCAACUCGAGUGCAUGAAGCUGGAAUUACUAGUAAUCGUGGAUCAGCGUGCCACGGUGAAUGCGUUCCCGGGUCUUGUACACACCGCCCGUCACACCAUGGGAGUUGGUUCUACCUUAAGGCAAGGUUUAAAACCCUUGACCACGGUAUAGUCAGCGACUGGGGUGAAGUCGUAACAAGGUACCC